UGCUUGAUUUAUAAUGUGUAAAUGAAGUGUACAUUUGAAUAUGUCAUAGGUGGUGUCCUUAUUCAACUUGGACGAAAAAAAAAGGAGAGAAAAAUUCACAAUUCAAGAGGAUGAGCAGACUUAUCUACUAAUGAGCCAUUGCAAGUCAUCUAGAGGACUUGAGAGAGGAGCCUAGCUCUACUGAAUCCAAGCUGACCUGCUCACAUUUGUGUGCCAUUUCUAUGAGGAAGUCUCUUGAGAAUGCCAACAGCUCAGAUACCUGCUCGUCAUUACCAGAUCUACCCCUCAAAGCACAACGUCUGCUGGUGGGAGGCCGUGGAAUCGGGACAAAGUGCUGCACGGAGGGGCCUUGCCCAAGGCUACGCAGCUGGUGGAUGGGGAAAUCAGGCGCUUGCCAGCCACCUCGCAGGCAGCUUUCCCUCUGAGGGAAGGUGGUGCCUCCGGCCUCUGAGGAGGUAGCUGGGACAGCCUGAAAUGAGCUGCUGAAAGCCUGAAGCUCCAGAAAGACAAAAAACAAGCAACACACAGUGAUGUGGGUGUCACUCGCUGAGGAUGUGCGAUCACACACACACUGCCCGGGUUGAAGUGAAAUGAAUAAUGCCAAUAACAUUGUGAGGGAAUGCUUCAGUGCCUGAAAUGUACAGUGCACGAAUGGUUCCCAAGAUUUGUCAUAUUUUAAUGCUAUUGCCUUAUGUUUGUUCGGUGCUUUCCAGUUUUGAAAGUGCUUUCACAUGUUUAAUCAUUUGCUCACAAUAAUUCUUCAAAGCGAAUAGGUAGAUAUGGGCGGAAUGACAGCUCCCCCUUCCCAAAUUCAUGUGUUGAAACUCUAAGCCCCAGUACUUCAGAAUGUGAUUGUAUUGGUGUGUCGGGAAUUGGUUGGUUCCUUUCAGUGGGUUCUUGGUCUCACUGACUUCAAGAAUUAAGCUGCGAAUGCUCACGGUAUUAAAGUUC